rnacentral:lncRNA from 1 species
UUUGGUGCCAAUCACAUUUUGCUUUAGUCUCUCAACCAACUCCCAUACCUCAUUUCUUAUGAAGUUGUUUAAUUCUUCUUGCAUGGCCAUCAUCCAAUCCGGAUCAUCAAGUGCUUCUUCUACCUUAAAAGGCACCAAAGAGGAAACAAAUGAGUAACAUCCACAAAAGGUUGCUAAACGUGAGCGAGUAGUUACCCCUCUUUGGAUACCUCCAAUGAUGUUGUUGGUAGGAUGAUCCCGUUGAACGCUUUGAUGAACUCUAGGAAAAAGCAUUUGUGAUUGUUGUUGAAUAGGUCCAUCAUCAUCAUCUUCAACUUGUGGAUCAUCUUCUUGAGUUUGACCACCUUGUUCUCC